rnacentral:rRNA from 1 species
ACAUGGCUCAGGACGAACGCUGGCGGCGUGCUUAACACAUGCAAGUCGAACGAUGAAGCCCUUCGGGGUGGAUUAGUGGCGAACGGGUGAGUAACACGUGGGCAAUCUGCCCUUCACUCUGGGACAAGCCCUGGAAACGGGGUCUAAUACCGGAUAACACUCUGUCCCGCAUGGGACGGGGUUAAAAGCUCCGGCGGUGAAGGAUGAGCCCGCGGCCUAUCAGCUUGUUGGUGGGGUGAUGGCCUACCAAGGCGACGACGGGUAGCCGGCCUGAGAGGGCGACCGGCCACACUGGGACUGAGACACGGCCCAGACUCCUACGGGAGGCAGCAGUGGGGAAUAUUGCACAAUGGGCGAAAGCCUGAUGCAGCGACGCCGCGUGAGGGAUGACGGCCUUCGGGUUGUAAACCUCUUUCAGCAGGGAAGAAGCGA